UACGGGGGGGUAAGCGUUGUUCGGAAUUACUGGGCGUAAAGGGCUCGUAGGCGGCCAACUAAGUCGGACGUGAAAUCCCUCAGCUUAACUGGGGAACUGCGUCCGAUACUGGAUGGCUUGGAUUUGGGAGAGGGAUGCGGAAUUCCAGGUGUAGCGGUGAAAUGCGUAGAUAUCUGGAGGAACACCGGUGGCGAAGGCGGCAUCCUGGACCAAUAUUGACGCUGAGGAGCGAAAGCUAGGGGAGCAAACGGGG
rnacentral:rRNA from 1 species